UACGGAGGGUGCAAGCGUUAUCCGGAUUCACUGGGUUUAAAGGGUGCGUAGGUGGUCUAUUAAGUCAGGGGUGAAAUCCCCGCGGCCCAACCGUGGAACUGCCUUUGAUACUGGUGGACUUGAGUGCGUGAGGGGUAGGGGGAACGAGCAGUGUAGCGGUGAAAUGCGUAGAUAUUGCUCGGAAGGCCAGAGCCGAAGGGGCCCUACUGGUACGUAACUGACACUGAGGCACGAAAGCGUGGGGAGCAAACAGG
rnacentral:rRNA from 1 species